rnacentral:rRNA from 1 species
UACGUAGGGGGCAAGCGUUGUCCGGAAUCAUUGGGCGUAAAGCGCGUGUAGGCGGUUACGUAAGUCUGCUGUGAAAGUCGGAGGCUCAACCUUCGAAAGCCGGUGGAUACUGCGUGACUAGAGUACGGAAGAGGAGAGUGGAAUUCCUGGUGUAGCAGUGAAAUGCGUAGAUAUCAGGAGGAAUACCGAUGGCGAAGGCAGGUCUCUGGGCUGACACUGACGCUCAUGCACGAAAGCGUGGGGAGCAAACAGG